rnacentral:tRNA from 1 species
UGGCCAUUAGCAUAAAGGCAAUGCUGCAUCCUGUUAAGAUGCAAGAUAUAGGUUCGAAUCCUAUAUGGUCAGC